CACGUAGGAGGCAAGCGUUAUCCGGAUUUAUUGGGCGUAAAGCGCGCGCAGGUGGUUGGACAAGUCGGAUGUGAAAGCCCCGGACUCAAUCUGGGGAGGUCAUUCGAUACUGUUGGACUUGAGAGCGGGAGAGGGAAGCGGAAUUCCGGGUGUAGUGGUGAAAUGCGUAGAUAUCCGGAGGAACACCAGUGGCGAAGGCGGCUUCCUGGCCCGUUUCUGACACUAAGGCGCGAAAGCGUGGGGAGCGAACGGA
rnacentral:rRNA from 1 species